rnacentral:rRNA from 1 species
GACGAACGCUGGCGGCGUGCCUAAUACAUGCAAGUCGAACGCAGUGGGGACGGGUGAGUAACACGUGGGUAACCUCCCAUCAGAGGGGAUAACACUUGGAAACAGGUGCUAAACCGAUACUGAUGGAUGGACCCGCGGUGCAUUAGCUAGUUGGUGAGGUAACGGCUCACCAAGGCCACGAUGCAUCGCCGACCUGAGAGGGUUAUCGUCCACACUGGGACGUAGACACGGCCCAGACUCCUACGGGAGGCAGCAGUAUGGAAUCUUCGGCGAUGGACGGAAGUCUGACCUAGCAACGCCGCGUGAGUGAAGUGGGUUUUCGGAUCGUAAAACUCUGUUGUUAUAGAAGCGGUAGCUAACCGGAAAGCCACGGCUAACUCCGUGCCAGCAGCCGCGGUAAUUC